rnacentral:rRNA from 1 species
CUGAACCAGCCAAGUAGCGUGAAGGAUGACUGCCCUAUGGGUUGUAAACUUCUUUUAUAAAGGAAUAAAGUCGGGUAUGCAUACCCGUUUGCAUGUACUUUAUGAAUAAGGACCGGCUAACUCCGUGCCAGCAGCCGCGGUAAUACGGAGGAUCCGAGCGUUAUCCGGAUUUAUUGGGUUUAAAGGGAGCGUAGAUGGAUGUUUAAGUCAGUUGUGAAAGUUUGCGG